CAGCCGCCGCGGUAAUACGUAGGGUGCGAGCGUUAAUCGGAAUUACUGGGCGUAAAGCGAGCGCAGACGGUUAUUUAAGCAGGAUGUGAAAUCCCCGGGCUUAACCUGGGAACUGCGUUCUGAACUGGAUAGCUAGAGUGUGUCAGAGGGGGGUAGAAUUCCACGUGUAGCAGUGAAAUGCGUAGAGAUGUGGAGGAAUACCGAUGGCGAAGGCAGCCCCCUGGGAUAACACUGACGUUCAUGCUCGAAAGCGUGGGUAGCAAACAGGAUUAGAUACCCCCGUAGUCCCUGUCUCUUAUAC
rnacentral:rRNA from 1 species